CUGAAAUUGGAAAUUUCAGAAAUUGGAAAUUGGAAAUACAGGAAAAAUCAGCAUGGCCCCUGCACAAGGAUAACACAUAAAUUCAUGGAACAUUCCAUAUUUUU